CCUACGGGGCGCAGCAGUGAGGAAUAUUGGUCAAUGGACGAGAGUCUGAACCAGCCAAGUAGCGUGAAGGAUGACUGCCCUAUGGGUUGUAAACUUCUUUUAUAUGGGAAUAAAAUGUUCCACGUGUGGGAUUUUGUAUGUACCAUAUGAAUAAGGAUCGGCUAACUCCGGGCCAGCAGCCGCGGUAAUACGGAGGAUCCGAGCGUUAUCCGGAUUUAUUGGGUUUAAAGGGAGCGUAGGUGGAUUGUUAAGUCAGUGGUGAAAGUUUGCGGCUCAACCGUAAAAUUGCAGUUGAAACUGGCAGUCUUGAGUACAGUAGAGGUGGGCGGAAUGCGUGGUGUAGCGGUGAAAUGCUUAGAUAUCACGAAGAACUCCGAUUGCGAAGGCAGUUCACUGGACUGCAACUGACACUGAGGCUCGAAAGUGUGGGUAUCAAACAGGAUUAGAUACCCCUGUAGUC
rnacentral:rRNA from 1 species